CUAGAGGAAAGACUGUUCUGAAUCAACCUCAUCUCAUCUCCACGUGGCUUAACGUGAGAUUCCUUGCUCUGGUUUUCAUCAGUUCAGAGGGAAGCAGAUCUUGAACAGAACCUUAGGGAGUACCCAUGGGAAGGAGAGACAAGAUCUGGAGGAGUAGGAGAGCUGUUCUGUUCUCCACCUUCCUUUGGUAUCUGAACCUUUCAAAUGCUAGAGAAGCCCACUUGUCCACAAAGGAGAGCUUGAAAAACCCCGUGGAAGCCCUUCGUAGGAACUGACAUGUCAAUGAUACGUGGGCACAUGUCUGGAGGGGAGAGAACUGAUGUGUGCUGCACACGGGAUGGGGCUACAGGGGAGGAAGGCAGGAAAAAAAGGGGAGCUGAUGCCCAGGACAGGGUUAAAAGAUGCUGAUGACUGGGGGAAGAGGGAUUUUCCACGGUGCACUCUUGCGUCCAGCCUGAGAUAUUAAUCACUCACUUUCAUCAGCAUCAGAAAAGAUAGAUCCCUCCCCCUCCGUGAUAUAAGAAUCAGAAAAUUCAACAGCUCCAGUUCAGCCGGAGCCUAAAACCUCAUUCUGGAAAUACCGUUCCAUUUUUCAAUGUCUGUAUGCCUUUGAAACUAGCUCUUGAUUUUAUUGGGCUGACUCUCGCUUCCCAAAAGGAGCUCCAGCGCUGUCUCUGCGGCCCUUCUUCCAAACCAUAUGAAUCACCCUGGCCUCGGGGAGCUGCCACAAGUCACUUGAGUGGCUAAAAAUAUCUCGGAGGAAGAGGACAAAAAUACGUUUCUCUGCUGCUGUAAUGCUGGGCUGAGGAGGGCACGCACCAAAUUAACUUGUUCUGGUGCUUUGCUCCCUAAAGGUUUGUUUGUUAGCGAAAGCAGAGCUGAAUAAAUAUAGCUUAUAGCAGAUAUUUUGAGAAAGGUGCUUUUGGGGGGAGGUGCUUUUUCUGGCUAUUUCUGGAAAGAGGAAAGAAAGAGAAAGGUGCUUUUCUUGGGGGUUUCCUCCCAAGGGGGACUGGAGCUGAGUGGGGGGAGAUGAAGUGAUGAAGUGCUUCUUCUGAGACCUCCUCCUGUUGGCUGAUGGUUUGCCUUGAUGUUACGAAGCCUCAGCAGUGAUUCACCUCCACCGUAACCGCCUUCCAGGAUCGUGUGUGUUUAUCUAAACUGUUUCCACGGGGAAAAAUUUAUUCCAACAACUUUUAGUCCACUGGCAACAAGUGGACAGGAAGAAAACGCAGAGCCGUGCCUCUCGUGGUUGUGUGUGAUGAGUCACACCAGAUGCUUUACCUGCUUGCUGGCGUAUGUACCAUGCAAUGAGUGCCUUUGGGAACUCGAUCCGGGGCUGAGGAUGGAUGCACAGUCCUCACACUGAGAAGCAGCUGCAGUGAUGCCCCGGGCUGCCCAACGCAGCAUGGCAAGGAAGGGAUUUCAGUGCCCCAUACAACUCAGUAGGCCCAAAUCAGCCAGAAGGGAACCAGUCUGUCUGGAAAACACAGUCUUAUUUUCCCACAGUACUCAGUUCCCUGCCCCAGCCACGUUGAGCAAUGUCCAGCCUUGGAGCAGUGGAGACACCUUGAGAAUCGAUGGCUUUAAGUACAUGAUAGCUUUAAGACCUGUCACACUUGGGAAAAAGAGAUUGAUCUCAUCCAGUGUCCCCAGACAGGCUCCAAAUUUCUCGUGUAAUCACUUCUGUUCCAUCUUAUACUUCAAAUUCACGGCACACUGCUGGCUUUCUUUCCUCUGUCUUCAAAGGGAGCCUGGAUGUGUGGCUCAGAUGGAGACAUCUGCACGGGGUAUGUUUACAGUCAGAGUGAUGAGUCUGUCCCCACAUAUCCUCGGGGGAAUCUAUGCUGUCAGAAGACAAUACGCCGUCACAACGUCCCACGACAGCACUGGGAAGCUGCCAGUACAGCAUGAAAUCAAGUUCACAGAACCCGACUGUCCUACAUGCUCUGAGAAACGUCACCUAACUGAUGAAAGGCCAACCAAAUGCUGAGCUCUGAUGCUCAGUGUGUAAACAUGUUUAGGAAUUUGUUUGCAGCCUGAGGAUGGACGUGGAAUGUUGUUGCAGCAGUAUAAUGCAUGACUACCUAUGCCAAGGAUAACAGAUGCUCUCAGUGUUGGUUGCUGUAUAUAGAAUACAUACUUAGGCUUUAUGACAACUUGGAAGAGUGCUGUGUCCUGAAUGGAAACUGCAGGAGACGGCAAGAGAGAGGCUGGAGCUACACGUCCCUGUGGAGGGCUUGGGGACAGCUGGUGCUUGUGGGCACACGGCCAAGGAACCCCAGCACUGGAGCUUGGGUUUCUCGGAGCAAAAGGAAACGUGACAUGUGGGUCUUGGCCUGCACUCCAAUCUGUUUACCCCAUGCUGGCCCACAGGAGAGAGGAUUUUUUUUUUCCUCGGGAAACACUUACUGAGAUCAAGAAAGAAGUUAAUAAGCCAAAUGGAGACUGUCUCACUUCGCUGUGCUGCCUGGCUCCCUUCCAGCCUGGGCUGGUAUUGAAAUUACCCACUGUGACUCCAGAAAGCAGGAACAAAGAGCCCUGCACACCAGCUUUCCUAGCAGCCUUUGUUUCGUAUUUGUGCCUGUAUCAGCCCAAAACAUGAGCUGGGCAGCAGCACACUCAGCUGCAAUGUCCUGUGUGGGAAACUCACUGUCCAGCUCCCCGUGGGUGCUGCAAAACCAGGCAGCACUGCAAAUUUGGCUGUGUGCAAUGGCAAUGCCAGAGCUUUGCCUCCAAACCAGCAACUCCAGGAGCACAAAUUCUGUCCAAAUCAGAUUGGAGCAUGUCGGUCAGCUCAAAUGCAGGAUGUUUAUUUUAGAAUCAAUAGAAUCACAGAAUUGUUUCAAUUGGAAGGGACCUUACAGGCCAUCUGGUCCCACUCCCUGCAGUGCACAGGGACACCCACAGCUCCAUCAGUGCUCAGAGCCCCAUCUAGCCUGACCUUGGCUGCCUGCAGGGAUGGGGCACCACCACCUCUCUGGGCAACUGCCCCGAGUGUGAAAAACUUUCUCCUUAUAUACAAUCUAAAUCUCCCUUCUUUGAGUUGGAAACCACUUCCCCUUGUGCUAUCAAGCUGGUGGGUCUCCAGCUCAUGCAUCUCAUGAGGUCUUCAGCUCAAGCAGCUACUCAGCCAAGGAGGGGGCACUGGGAUGCCACUCAACACACUGAGGUUAUUCCUUCCUUUGCAAAAUGAUCUUGGAGUCAAAAAACGAUUAGGGAGGUGGUGGCUUUAAUGACCUAUUUGGGCACGCUGGGAAAGAGGUGUCUCAAAGACUUGCUGGGAAGCACAGGCAUCUCUGGGAGCCUUCCUGCCAAAGAGUUCCUCAUUCAGGAGCUUCUCGUUAUUGCUCAUAGACAGGAGGACAGUGAGGCUCCUGUUAUAUUUUCUUCACUUUUUUUUUUUUUUAAAUCAAUCUAUAAAACUCUUUAUACGGAUAAAUGAGGUUAAUCUGACACUCAUUCCGUAGCAGAACUGAGACACAGUGGGUUGAUGUGAUCUUUGCAGUUCUGCUCAUAAAGGAUGCACACUGAGACAUCCAUAACUGCUACGUGAGAUCCCUGUAGUUUUGGGGAACAAAGAGACCUGGGACUUUCCAGUUCACAGUCAGUCCCUUCUCUAAUUCAAGAGAGGUAAACCACAUGCUUCCUUGUUCCUGAUACACAGAGCUCCCAGCAAACCUGCUCUCAAAUUUCCACACUCAGUGAUGUUUGUGAUUACCAGAGAAGUCAGCAUUCAUUUCAAGGAGAAUGACUGAAUCAGGUUGAGUGAAUUUCAUUUGCUGAUAUCAUCAUGCAGGUGUUUGAAGCUUAAUGCACACAGCCAAACGAAAACCUUUGCUACCUACCCAAUGCUGCAGUGCUGUUGCCUUUCUUCCAUAGAGGCCACCCUUACAACAGACGGAUUGGGUGCCAUUCCUUGGCUGCGCUGACACUUCAGUCAAUACAUGUCUUAAAUUUUGGCACAAAAAGGGUGAAGUAGUCUCAUUUUAAAGGUAUUGUUAUGCAUUUUGAAAUGAUUGUUGAAAGCCCUUAGCCCUUAACGCUUGUGCACAAAGCACUUUCCCUCUCUCAGGCUGUCUGUAUUGUGUUAAGGGCUAUGAGGACCUCAGCCAGGCUGCUGAAUGCACCAGGGUAACUUUCCAAUGGAGAGGGCCACUUUAUGAGGGGCUGCCACAACUUUCCCUCAUGUUUAACAUGAAAAACCCCAACCCCUCUGCAGUUCUUAAGCCCUCUGCUGUGGAAAGGAGCUUAUGAACUUGUUACUCAGCACUCAAGAUCGCACAGUGAACUCACUCUGUGUUUUGCUAUGUUUUGCAUAUGUGAGUUGAGCAAUGAGACAUAAUCAUGCAGCCAUUUCUGGACAGAGUGAUGACUUUGGAAUUUAAAAAUUUGAUGGCAAAUGAUGAAUCAUCAUCAGAAUUCAAACCAUAUGACUGAAACGCUUUUCAUGCUUUCCAGUAUUCCUAGUGCUGUUUCAUUCUUGAAAAUAAUCACACAACAGAUCGUUAUGACCUACUGCAGGGAACCUGCCAUGGCAGGGGUUGGAUUGGGUGAUCUUCAAAAGUCCUUUCCAACCCCUACAAUUCUGUGAUUACCCUUUUAAUUGGGUGAUGACCGAUCGAAAGCCUUUGGAAUCCUCCAGCUUCAAGACUUCAGCAACCACCAAGAAAAGUAUAAACAUUUUAGCCAGGUCUUGAAUUAUUUUCUCCGAAGAGUGGCUGAUGUGUUAUUGGUAAUACACAAAGCUUUUGUCUGACCACAAAGCAGAACUGUAGCCAUGGAAAACAACUGUAUUUAAUUUGCCAUCACAACUGCAUUUCUCCAUGAAUGACUACGAGCACCACUCUGGUGCACAUCUGUGUCUUUUGCGGUGAUCAUUUGCUUAUUUUUAUGUUUUGCUAUAUCUAGGCAACAGAAGGAAGCCUGAAGAGCUUUUCUUCCUAGCAAUUACACCAGGUUUGUUUUCAUGACCCUCUUUUACACUUGACAGUGCACCGUGAGCAUCUGAGAAAUUUCCUUUGCUCAAACUGCAGAAUGCCUUUGGAUGAUUAGCGCCGUCUGUUCUCACCCUCAUGAAAUCCCUUCUCCAUUCUCGUGGAAAAUGCAGCAUCACUUCUGAGACUUAAAUUUGUAGAUUGAAAAUUCCCGUUGUCGUCAGUCACAGCCUAAAUUGUCAGAUGGGCCUUUGCCCAGUGUAAGAGACAGAGGUUCAGGAUGAAGCACUUUGCAGUUGACUUUUUCCAUCUCCCCAGCACUCAGGCUUUGAUUUAGGGGGGCUGUUCCCAUUGCACAGCUCAGGUCUAGCUGCUGCUGGGACACACACUGAGCAGCAGCACCAAGGAGCAUGGUGGGAUGGGGAGCAGCCCAGUGCUCCAUGCUGCUGCAGCAGGCUUUACUCUUGCAAAAACCUCCCCUUCAAUCAAUAAUAUUUUCAAUCUGGGGGGGAUGUUCCUGUGUUUCUUUAAAGCCAGCCACUUCUAUGGUAAUGUCAGAGUCAGAAAUGAUUUUAGUUUUGCUUUUUUUCCAGAAACAAACAAACAAACAAAAAACUGUUCUGAGAAUUUUCUCUGCCCUACUGACUCUGAGGAUCCCUGGGACUCCUGCUGCGAUCUGACCAGCCUGCCUGCUUGUUGUUCUGCCCAGCAGCCUAUAGAUUCUGCUCUGCUGCUUUCACGCAUGGCUGGAAAACCGUUUACUCCGUAAAACUCCCACAUUCCAGCUGGAGAAAGUCACAGCCAUUCUCGUUUCCAGAGACAUGCUUCUGAUGAACAGCCCCAUCCCAUGGGGGCUUCAUCCAGACCCCCUGCACCAUGGGUACCCACUUCCCCAGGGCAUAGCUUGGGUCUCCAAGGGGUCUCUGUGGUUGGGAAGAGGCACUGGAGGGAGGCAGCUCAGCUCUGUUACCUCCAAUGCUGCUCUGUGCCUGCUGAGAACCUGGCCCUGUGUUUCCAUCCUGACUCCUCCCUUCCUGUCUUUCCAGGCCACAAGUUCCCAAAAUAUCCCCUGUCCCUCAUUCAGGGAGGCAGAAGGUAGUGCUGACCCUGAUCUGUUUUGCAGACAGUGGCUGCUCGUCGCCGCCCCCUCAGAAAUUCUUUAUGAACAGCUGUUAAGUGAAGAAAUCACACCAAGAUGGUUGAUUUUUAUUUUAUUUUAUUUUGUAGCAUGGCUGCAAGAGGAGAUUUGGUCUUUCCUCUGCUGGGUUUGCAUCCAGUAGAUGAAGAAUGGCAAAGGACCGUCCCUUGCGAGAGCCUCUCCCCUGCAGGAGCCAGCGAUGCACAAAGAGCUGCUGUAAAUCAACCUGGCAGCAGCAAUAACAUCUGACAGUGCCAAAAGAGCCCCUCGUUGGCUCUGCUGUCUGGAAAUGCCUAGCCGAUGGCAGGGUUUGUAUUUAUGCUUCUUGGUAAUUUGUCCAUACAUCAGUUUAUUUAUAAGCAGAGCACUUGCCCAGAAAGGCCCAUGUUUUCUUUGGCCACCCCAAGGGUUUCUCUCUGUUUGGUUUCCAAAGCACACACGUGGAAAGUGGAGGAGCGAACUGCUGCACCAGGAAGAGUUAGUCAUUUGUCCAGGAUUAUUUUUCCAGGUGGAUUUUAUAAGAAGCACAAGGCAGGAGGAGGUACAGCCCAACGGAGUCAGCCACAUGGUGUGCAGUUUUGCCCCAUCCUUGAGGCAUGAUCCCCUCAAGUGUGAGAGCACCAGAAGUGAAGAUGAUGAAGCUAAGGGAGUCAGAAGUCCUCCUUGGGGGUUUGACAUCUGUGGUCUUGAAGCCCACGCUCAGACACCUGCAAGGGAUGCGGAGCCAGCUUGGCUCUUGGCUGGGUUGGCUGAGACCCAGAGCUGCUGACCAAGGUGGAGCUGUGCCAGGCAGACAGGAACAUGGCUGAAGUCUGUGAUUGCAUGAUAUCCUGUUCUGUCCGUGCCCCCGGGCUGAUGGACCACCCUCAUGCAAACCAGGUCACUUCUGCAGGAGUUUAAUACUUCUCCAAAAUAGAGCUUGGGUGGUAAUCCAACGAUGAUUGCUCCCUGAGAUGAAUGCAGCAGUGAUAAACCCUUCUAGGCAAAUAUAGACGGCCUCUUUGUACACAAUGAGAAAAGACACGGAAAUAGAGAAUACAGUGGGUAGAAGAUUUUGACUUUCAGUAAAGCAGUAGCUCUGACAUUUCUUUAGGAUCCUAUGGUGACCUCUGGAGAGAAACUUGUGCACUAAGACACAGUGAAAUGGCUGCAAAAGGUGGUGAGGCUCUGUAGGUUGCUGGUUUGGCCCUCUGAGACUGCAGGAGUGAGCCGAGAGCACAGCUCAAAUGCCUCAUGCGGGAUGUGGAAGAUGAUGGAGCAUUUGCAGAUACAUAACCCUAGGGUAAUGGCAUAAUGCCAGUCCAGGGGAAACCCAGAUGGCCACUGAGAUGCCCAAGAGCAUUUGCAAUGAAAAGGCAAAGCUGGAAGAGCCAGAGAAGAAGAGCUGAUGGCAUGAUGCUACAACCAUAGGCACUCCCAUGGCAGCACAUGCAGGCACAUCAGACAAUAGUCAGCACUGUCACAUGCACUGCUGCUUGUAGGGCAUCCACAUAGCUGCUUUUAUCCCAGUUGGCACGUACUGGCUUGGAUGAGCCCGAGGUCCUGGUGAACACUGAAUAACUGUAGCAGAGCUGUGCAUAGACAGGCUCUGCAAUGGCCAGCUCACCUGUUCUGCGUAGAUUCCUUCCUACAUGGAACCAAUCCACAGAGAGCUGAGCUCGGGUCUCCAUGUGCCUGAAGGUUUGUUUUGGGGACAGAAUAACAGAAUAAAUUGUUUAGAGGAUGAGCAGGUGUGCUUGAGAGUUGCUUUAUUUUUUUCCUAAACAUCCCAAAUCAGAGACACCAUUUGUCUACACAGAACCGCUGUCACCACUACGCUUUGGCUGCUCCUCCCACAACUUUGGCAAUUUCUGCCUCAGUGCUGGGCCUGAUGCCUGGACAGAGGGUGAGCCUGCAGCUUGGCAAUGCUGCUUGUCCUAUCUCAGCAUGGAUCUCUGUCUCCAGCACAUGCCCCAGUUCUUUGUACAAUCACAGCAGAAGUCUCUCCCCUUGCACUGACCCAACACACUGGUUUCCAAAGCUUUGGUUUCUCAUCUCAGCCGGUCUCUGCUGGCCCUCUGCUGAGGGUAUAAAUCCCACACUGAUGCUAUUCUGGAGUUUACUGCUGCUGUAUACGUUACCAGGGGAUGCUUAUAUCAUUUUCUGCUCAGUCCUAUUUAGGACACUUCUUAUUUUUAUAAAGAAAGCUCAAAGUCGAACUCCUCCCCUAAACUCCUUGAGAAGUGUAUUAAGGUGUGACCUAAUUUCUUACAAGUUCUUCAAUUGGGACAUUUUCUUCUCCAUAUCCUCCUCCAUCCAUCCCUCCAAUGCGACUCCAGAGGGAGCACAUAUCAGUUGUGUCCCCAUCCGCUUGAGGAUCUGCUCCACCCCUCCUGCUCCCACCAGGUGCCCUAAUUAUGUGUGUGCUGUGAGCAGGUAAGUGCUGUGGGGGAUACUGUGAAGGCAAGCUGGAUGAUGUGACCUCCCUUUUUUUCCUGCCUCAAUGAUAAUUUGAAAGAUUGCUUUGCCCUCCGCUGUUUCCCUGUGUUAGUGAAACUCCCUCAUAUAAGAGCAGAGCUGGACAAGGAGGUAAGAGCAGAGAGCCUGCAGGGUAGGCACUGGCCUUGUAGAAGCCUGGUGGACACCUGGAGGUGAUUUGCUAUUGGCAGCAUAGUGGCUGAAUCCCACUGUGGAAGAGCAACGAUUUUAUGGAAUCACAGAAUCAUGAAGGUUGGAAAAGACCUCUAAGAUCUCCAAGCCCAACACCAACCCAUCCCACCAUACCCACUGGCCACGUCCCUCAGUGCCACAUCUCAACAGUUCUUGGACACCUCCAUGGACAGUGACUCCACCACCUCUCUGGACAGCCUGCACCACUCUUUGGUGCCUCACUACUCUUUCAGAGAAGAAGAUUUUCUGGAUCUCUAAGAACACCUUCUGUCUCACAAUGGGUUUCUUCCCAGCUCUUAAAGGAAGAGGUGGCCUCACUUUACAUCAUCUGUGCAGGCAGGAAUGAGGUAUAGAGAGGGCCCUAACUAUGGCUAAUCCCACCUGCUAGCAGCUGCCCAGAAGCAGCAGGAGCACAUUGGGUGGUAGAGAGACCAGAGGUAUCACUGAAGAGGAGGAUGGGGAUGUGCUGGGGGUCAGAGCCACAGUUCUGAGCAGUCUUCUAUGAGUCAAAGAUGGGCACGAGGCCCUGGGUAGGAUGAAGCCCUGAUCCAAGCUGGCACGGCAGUUCCCUCAAACUCCCAAGAAUGCUGCAAGUGUUUACAUACAGCAGCACCGCUUCUGCAAGAUAAUAUCUACAAUAAUAUGACAAGGCAGCAUAAUUUAAGUGGGUGUACGUUGCCUCUCUUCACCCUGAGCAGUUUUUCUGCUGAUGGGACCUUGCUAAUUUGCUUCCAUCAGAAGAAUAAACGAAUCA